rnacentral:rRNA from 1 species
ACGGAAGGUGCAAGCAUUGUUCGGAUUGACUGGGCGUAAAGAGCGCGUAGGUGGGUUUGUAUGUCGGAUGUGAAAUCCCUAGGCUUAACCUGGGAACUGCAUCCGAAACGGCAGAUCUUGAAUGUUUGAGAGGUUGGCGGAAUUCCAGGUGUAGGAGUGAAAUCCGUAGAUAUCUGGAGGAACACCGGAGGCGAAGGCGGCUGACUAACAAAACAUUGACACUGAGGCGCGAAAGCGUGGGUAGCAAACAGG